GACAGAGGUGCCAAGCGUUAGGCGGAAUCACUGGGCUUAAAGCGUGUGUAGGCGGAUGUCUAAGUACCUUGUGAAAUCCCACGGCUCAACCGUGGAACUGCUUGGUAUACUGGAUGUCUUGAGCCAUCUAGGGGCUACCGGAACAAAUGGUGGAGCGGUGAAAUGCGUAGAUAUCAUUUGGAACGCCAAUGGUGAAAAACAGGUAGCUGGGGGAUGUGCUGACGCUGAGACACGAAAGCCAGGGGGAGCAAACGGG
rnacentral:rRNA from 1 species